UAUAAAUAACAACAAAAGAUAACGAUCUUAAACAGGUUAAAAUGAGGAUGCCGAUGAAACGUUCACUUUCAUUACAUUUUUUGUGUAUAAAAUUGAUUAUGAUCGUUGCCAUCAUCACUUCUGUGAUGACAAAAAGCAGUAGUAUUGACGAACACUCAAUUGCCUCUCAAAAAUGUACCACACAAAAUUGGAGAAGUAACAAAUUCAAGGGGAAUUGCCGUUCAAAUUCAGAUGAAAUAAAAUGUAGUGAUACCUGUAAAGGUGAAGGUGCAAAUAAAGGAUAUUGUGUGGUUGGCGGAUGGUGUAAUUGUUUCUGCAGGACUGGUUAACUGAUGGAUAUGAUCAUCAAAAUACUAUUUUACUUAUGAUUUGAAUAAGUUGUUAACAUAUUAACGGGUUAAACAAUAUUAGAUAUUUUAAAAUACAAGUUUUACAUGUGGUAUAAUAUGAGAUUAUAUUCUUAUCUA